UGGGGAAUAUUGCACAAUGGGCGAAAGCCUGAUGCAGCAACGCCGCGUGAGUGAUGAAGGUCUUCGGAUUGUAAAGCUCUGUCUUUUGGGACGAUAAUGACGGUACCAAAGGAGGAAGCCACGGCUAACUACGUGCCAGCAGCCGCGGUAAUACGUAGGUGGCGAGCGUUGUCCGGAUUUACUGGGCGUAAAGGGUGCGUAGGCGGAUGUUUAAGUGAGAUGUGAAAUACCCGGGCUUAACUUGGGUGCUGCAUUUCAAACUGGAUAUCUAGAGUGCAGGAGAGGAGAAUGGAAUUCCUAGUGUAGCGGUGAAAUGCGUAGAGAUUAGGAAGAACACCAGUGGCGAAGGCGAUUCUCUGGACUGUAACUGACGCUGAGGCACGAAAGCGUGGGUAGCAAACAGGAUUAGAUACCCUGGUAGUCCACGCCGUAAACGAUGAGUACUAGGUGUAGGAGGUAUCGACCCCUUCUGUGCCGCAGUAAAUACAUUAAGUA
rnacentral:rRNA from 1 species